rnacentral:rRNA from 1 species
UACGGAGGGAGCUAGCGUUGUUCGGAUUUACUGGGCGUAAAGCGCACGUAGGCGGCGCCGUAAGUCAGGGGUGAAAUCCCGGAGCUCAACUCCGGAACUGCCUUUGAAACUGCGGUGCUAGAAUCCUGGAGAGGCGAGUGGAAUUCCGAGUGUAGAGGUGAAAUUCGUAGAUAUUCGGAAGAACACCAGUGGCGAAGGCGACUCGCUGGACAGGUAUUGACGCUGAGGUGCGAAAGCGUGGGGAGCAAACAGG